rnacentral:lncRNA from 1 species
CUUCACCCCACCCCAGAUGCACCCAGAGCCUAUCAAGUGACGUGCAGAAGCCAGGGCCCUUCAUCAUGUUACUAUGGACUUGGCCCAAGAGUUGCAGAAGCCGAAGGAGGAUCCAGAGGAAAGUUGAGCAUUUGCAGGCCCAGCCCCUGCCUCAUGCCAGGGAGGAUGGAUCUUUGACUUUAAAAGAGAAAUUAGAACCCACAGCUGCACAUCUAGGUCUAAAGAUGCUGAAGAAGAUUAAACUGACAUAUCAGAGAGUUCUCUGACUCAUGGAAGAGAGGCAUCUACUCCAAGAAACUAAGCAAAAUUGUUAAUAAGAAUUGAAAAUAUGAAAAAGCUACCUUUCCCUCAGCUUUAUAGAUGUUAAAAAUUUACCUUAUGGUGUCUUAUAAAACAGAACUUUUGCAAUAGUAUUAUGGUGCCAGUAAAGUUGUGGCAUCAUUUUCAGACCAAUCAUUCAGAGUUUAAAGGAAAAGGAACUGAAUAUUUUAUACAUAGAAAAAAUUAUUUUUUUGUGUGUGUGUGGUGAGGAAGAUUGUCCCUGAGCUAACAUCUGUGCCAAUAUUCCUCUAUUUUGUAUGUGGGCCACCACCACAGCGUGACUUGAUGAGUGUUGUGUAGGUGUCCACCUGGGAUCCAAACCCAUGAACCCCGGGCUGCAGAAGUGAAGCACAUGAACUUAACCCCUAUGCCACUGGGCCAGCCCCUGGAAAAGUGAACUUUUAAUGACAAAAAUGGUUCACUACUUCACAGACCAGAAAUGAAAACAUCACUAAAGCAAUAAAGCACUUUACAGGUUAAGUUAUAUUUUGCGUUGAACAGAGACAUGCACACGAUACUUGAAAGCCUAACAAAGCCUUGUAGAGUUGACACUGCUGAAUACCUGUCAAUUUCCAACUAUACAGUUGUUUGUUGAAUUAAAAACUUAACUACAAACAUGAAGACUGAGUUUAUAUCUGCU